CCUGGGACCAUGACCUGAGCUGAAGGCAGACACUUGAUGGAGUCACCCAGGCACCCCACCCUUUCACUUUUCUUUCUAAUCCAUCAGCAAGUCUUGUUUACCUCUACUCUCAAAACUGAUUAUAAAUCUGUCCCCUCCUACUACUGCCUAAUCCAAGCUGCCAUGUUUCACUUGGGCUACUACAUUCUCUGUUGUCACACUUGCACCCCUUUUAUUAUAAAAUGUAAGUCGAAUCCUAUCACUCCCCUGCAUAAAACUUUGUAAUGCCCCAUUUAGAAUAGACUCUAAUCCUUACCAUUAUUCACAAGGUACUAUAUGAUCUGGUCCCCAGCAAUUUCUCUGACCUCAUCUACCACUCUCCCUGUUCAUUCUGCUUUGGCCACCUGUUCUUUGCUGUUCCUCACACGUCUAAACUUUCCCAGUUUGCAGACUUUGCACAAAUUCAGAGCUUCCCAGACAGGUUGCCACAGAUGGCAAAUAUGCCAGGAGAUACUACUCCUUAAUAUGUGGGGCAGCCAGGCUGAUCCCCGGGCUAAUGAUUUCAGGCUGAGAACAGCUUCAUCUGGGGCUCCUCAUCAGGCCACUUGGUCUGAGCAGAUUCUGAGAACAGGCCCCACAGUCCCCAGAACCAGAGAACCAGAUGACUGAUGUCCUGCACUCAGCAACACUGAAACAUUGCCAAGAGAGAGUGCUCUGCCACCCGGACAUAAACAAUAGUGGCUGGUUGUAGAGCACAUGCUGCUUCUGUUGGGCAAGGGGCCAUGGAUGUGCUGGAGGAAUUUGUUUACCUGUGCCCAAGGAGUAUGGUGUCAACCCAAAGUGAAGCCAGCCAACAGCCAGAAGAGGUGAUAAGCCGAGCAGGGGUCCUAGAGGCAAAACUCCAGACCCCAGCUCCAAAUCUCUACCUUUAAAUUAUCAGAAAUGUAUUUCUAUGUGGUAGAUGUGGUUUGGGACCUACCAACAGGCUGCGUGGUGAUUGGCUGUGCAGUCUGCAGAUUAGAGUAUCAUGAUUAUUUUUUAAGUACAUGAUAUGAAAAAGUCUAAUUGAAUUUGAAGUAUUUUUGUAUUAGCAAAAGAAAUAGAUUACAAUGUCAAUGAAAAAAGGGAAAUGUUAGAGUCUUGUUAUAAAAGUUUUAUAGUGAGCAUAAUAAAAUAUAUAAUGAUGAUAAUUACUAAUCUGAAGACCAUUCCAGUCAAGUCAGUCACCCUAAGUCAGUGGCUGUUCUUAACAUCCUUCAUGGUGAGAUAACCAGAAAUGUUUCCUGAUAUGAUUAAAUAUAAAGUAGACAGUAUCACCUAUGAUGUAAUCUAGCCAAAAAUAAUUAACUUGAAUCUAUCAAGGCUUAAGAUGUAAAUUCCAGUUUCCAGGAACUGCAGGAGAUAGAGGAAUAAGAUAAAUGACACUAAAGGAAGUAAUUAAGGAUUAUGUUUCUCCAUGUAUUAGGUGUUAAGUGUUUUCCAUUAAAAUUUUUUUAUGUUCUCUGUUAAGGUCUGGUACCUCUUUUAUAUAACAUUUAUUCUAAAACUCUCUAUUCUUUAUUAGUAUUAAAAAAUGUACCUUGCUUAAAUUUUGUUUGUUGUUAAGAAAUAAAAUUAAGAUGUAGAUUCCUGGAACUUUGUUAUUGGGGUUAAAAUGCAAUUGAAAUGCAAAAUCUUGUAACAUCUGCUUCCGGUAAUGAUAGACUAGGUAAUUCAGACCAACUGUCCGACUGAAGAAAUUGUUAACAUUUGGGUGAGAUAUAAAACAUAUCUUAAGAAUACUAAAGCACGAAGAGGUAAUGAGAAAUCAUCAGGCCAAGAACUGAGAGACAGUGGAAAUUCAGAGAGGACUAGAGGAGUGAAAGAUGGAGUUCAAGACCCAUUGAGGAGGGAGACCCAAGUAAACAUCACCAUUGCCUACCACCACCACACACAGACUCAGCUUUUGGUGCAGACUUAAAAAACCAGUCCUUCCAUGGCCAGCACCCUGCUGUGAGUGGACGACUCCAUGAACAGUCAGCCCUGAACUUGGAUUAAGGUGAUCCCAGAUUGCUGGUGCCCCCAGGUCCCUGGCAAAAGCAAUACAAUAAACCUGGUUUAGAGGAACAAAA